UAAGCAUAUCAAUAAGCGGAGGAAAAGAAACCAACAGGGAUUGCCCCAGUAACGGCGAGUGAAGCGGCAACAGCUCAAAUUUGAAAUCUGGCCCCUCGGGGUCCGAGUUGUAAUUUGUAGAGGAUGCUUUUGGUGAGGUGCCGCCCGAGUUCCCUGGAACGGGACGCCACAGAGGGUGAGAGCCCCGUCUGGCUGGCCACCGAGCCUCUGUAAAGCUCCUUCGACGAGUCGAGUAGUUUGGGAAUGCUGCUCAAAAUGGGAGGUAUAUGUCUUCUAAAGCUAAAUAUUGGCCAGAGACCGAUAGCGCACAAGUAGAGUGAUCGAAAGAUGAAAAGCACCUUGAAAAGAGGGUUAAAUAGUACGUGAAAUUGUUGAAAGGGAAGCGCUUGUGACCAGACUUGGGCGCGGCGGAUCAUCCGGGGUUCUCUCCGGUGCACUUCGCCGCGUCUGGGCCAGCAUCAGUUCGUCGCGGGGGAAAAAGGCUUCGGGAACGUGGCUCCUCCGGGAGUGUUAUAGCCCGUUGCAUAAUACCCUGCGGUGGACUGAGGACCGCGCAUCUGCAAGGAUGCUGGCGUAAUGGUCACCAGCGACCCGUCUUGAAACACGGACCAAGGAGUCGUCUUCGUAUGCGAGUGUUCGGGUGUCAAACCCCUACGCGUAAUGAAAGUGAACGCAGGUGAGAGCUUCGGCGCAUCAUCGACCGAUCCUGAUGUUCUCGGAUGGAUUUGAGUAAGAGCAUACGGGGCCGGACCCGAAAGAAGGUGAACUAUGCCUGUAUAGGGUGAAGCCAGAGGAAACUCUGGUGGAGGCUCGCAGCGGUUCUGACGUGCAAAUCGAUCGUCAAAUAUGGGCAUGGGGGCGAAAGACUAAUCGAACUUUCUAGUAGCUGGUUUC
rnacentral:rRNA from 1 species